rnacentral:rRNA from 1 species
UACGUAGGGUGCGAGCGUUGCCCGGAUUUAUUGGGCGUAAAGGGCGCGUAGGCGGCCACGCACGUCCGUUGUGAAAUCGCCCGGCUCAACUGGGCGGGGUCAGCGGAUACGGUGUGGCUCGAGCAAGCUAGGGGGCAAUGGAAUUCCCGGUGUAGUGGUGGAAUGCGUAGAUAUCGGGAGGAACACCAGUGGCGAAGGCGGCUACCUGGACCAGCACUGACACUGAGGCACGAAAGCGUGGGGGAGCAAACAGG